rnacentral:rRNA from 1 species
CCCUUAGAUGUUCUGGGCAGCACGCGCGCUACAAUGGUCUUCGCAAACGGAUGCAUUCUCGAAGGAGAAUGCCAAUCUUGGAAUCUAUGCCUUGGUCGGGACAGUUGCUUGCAAUUUUUCGACUCGAACCAGGAAUUCCUUGUAAUCGUGAUUCAUCACAUCACGAUGAAUACGUCCCUGCCCUUUGUACACACCGCCCGUCGCUCCUACCGAUCGAAGAGUUAGGUGAAUUGUUUUGAUCGAUAAGAUUUGACUAUGGUCAACUCUCGUUGUGAAAUUCUGUGAAUCGGACUGUUUAGAGGAAGGAAAAGUCGUAACA